AUUCUCUGAGUAGCGGCGAGCGAAAUGGGACCAGUCUAAACUUUAUAAUAAUUUAUAAAGGGUUGUGGGAUAGCUUAUAGUAAAGUGUAAUUGUUAGAUGAAGCAGAAUGAAUGCUGUACCAUAGUAGGUGAAAGUCCUGUAGUCGAAAACUUAAGCAUUUUAAAGUCUUAUCCCAAGUAGGAAGGGACACGUGAAACCCCUUUUGAAUUUGCGAGGACCACCUCGUAAGACUAAAUAUUACUGAACAACCGAUAGUGAACCAGUACCGUGAGGGAAAGGUGAAAAGAACCCCGGGAGGGGAGUGAAAGAGAACAUGAAAUCGUAAGUUUACAAGCAGUAGAAGAGUGACUUAACGCUCGACUUCGUGCCUGUUGAAGAAUGAGCUGGCGACUUGUGGGUUGUGGCAAGGUUAAGAUAAGAAAAUAUCGGAGCCAUAGUGAAAGCGAGCCUGAUAAGGGCUUUAAGUCAUAAUUUACAGACCCGAACCCGGAUGAUCUAACCAUGGCCAGUGUGAAGCUUAGGUAACACUAAGUGGAGGUACCAACCGACUGUUGUUGAAAAAACAGCGGAUGAGUUGUGGUUAGGGGUGAAAUUCCAAUCGAAUCCGGAGCUAGCUGGAUCUCCCCGAAAUGCGUUGAGGCGCAGCGGUUAAUGUUUCUUCUUAGGGGUAAAGCUACUGUUUUGGUGCGGGCUGCGAGAGCGGUACCAAAUCAAGGCAAACUCUGAAUACUAAGACGUUUAGUUAACCAGUGAGACAUUGGGGGAUAAGCUUCAAU
rnacentral:rRNA from 1 species